rnacentral:sRNA from 1 species
CUCAGAUAUAAGUUAUUGGUGGAAUCAAAUCCAGUCGUUAACGGGCGUUACGGAAUCAUUUAACGGUGUUAAAUUCUAAUUCCGUAUGAUCUAGUUUAUAUAGGGGUUGUUUAGAUUUAUUAGUUGAGAAUAUUAUUGUAUCCUAGUGGCUACACACGAGGCUAACUUAUUCUCCUUACUCGGGUUUGAUACCCCUAACUCGCAAUUUUUUUUUUAGUUUUUUCUUCUUCUUCUCCUCCGGGUGUUCGUUGAGAAAUCAAAAUUGGAGAGAAAUCCAGAGUCAAGGGUCGAAGAAGCUUCUCAUGAUUCGGAUCUGCUAUUUGAAAAGGUUGAAAGAGAAGAGCUUCUUUGUAGAAAGAGUUUGGGGAGAGUUCCAAGUUCCAACAUGGGCGGAUUGAGGUGGAGGAGGUGAAAGAAGUGGAGUUACAGAAGGUGGAAGGCAAGAAGGAGGCGUUGGAGGUGGAGGAAGUGGAGUUACAGAAGGUGGAGGGCAAGAAGGAGGCGUUGGAGGUGGAGAUGAGGUGAUUGGCGGAUCUGUUAAGAACCACCGGCGAAAAUAAGAAAAGGGCCUUACUAGGGAUUCGAACUCGGGUUAAUAGGGUUAAGUGACCUUGCUAAAUACCACUAGGGUACGGUAAUAAAUUUCGUUUAGUGUAGACAAAC